GACGAACGCUGGCGGCGUGCUUAACACAUGCAAGUCGAACGGAAAGGCCCUGCUUUUGUGGGGUGCUCGAGUGGCGAACGGGUGAGUAACACGUGAGUAACCUGCCCUUGCCUUUGGGAUAACUUCAGGAAACUGGGGCUAAUACCGGAUAGGAGCUCCUGCUGCAUGGUGGGGGUUGGAAAGUUUCGGCGGUUGGGGAUGGACUCGCGGCUUAUCAGCUUGUUGGUGGGGUAGUGGCUUACCAAGGCUUUGACGGGUAGCCGGCCUGAGAGGGUGACCGGCCACAUUGGGACUGAGAUAAGGCCCAGACUCCUACGGGAGGCAGCAGUGGGGAAUAUUGCACAAUGGGCGGAAGCCUGAUGCAGCAACGCCGCGUGCGGGAUGACGGCCUUCGGGUUGUAAACCGCUUUCGCCUGUGACGAAGCGUGAGUGACGGUAAUGGGUAAAGAAGCACCGGCUAACUACGUG
rnacentral:rRNA from 1 species